rfam:Myotis davidii contig365, whole genome shotgun sequence.
GGUGGUCCUCAGGUGACUCACCCUAGAAUUGAGUUCCCUUCUCUCUGGUUCCUGGUGUGUCACCCAAGAACCACA